AAAAUGACCAUACAUUAAAAACCUCUAUGAAAUGACACAGAUUCAAAUAAUUUACAACCUUCGAUUUGUUUAAUGUAUGUUAGCAAACAAGUGCCGCAUAUCUAUCAGAAGUUGUAAAAUAAUUAUUACUAAUUACAACAAACGCGGCUUAAAAGCCUUAUCAAUUUUAUGUAAUGCACGCGUACGUUGAUUGUAGGCCCAUAGUGUUACCACAUGCCGAGAAGUCUUCAAAUGGAAACACAAGAUAAUUAAUGACAAGACGCAGGACACUUAAACUGGACCCCUGUUGUGUUCACUUAUCGCUACACUGACGGUGCGAAGCUACAUUGUAUAGAUGGAACGGCGGACCAGUUUAUAUGACACUGAUCUGUAAUUUUGUAUAAUAUGAUCACUUGGUAUUUCUCUCUAUGUACGUGCAACGAAGAUGACAG
rnacentral:lncRNA from 1 species